CUGAGGGGAGCGAAAGCCACACUGCCGCACUCCCGGCCACGGGCCACAACCUGCGGGCCUUCGUCCGUCAGGGCCUGGACGCUUCUGCUACUCCACUCCUUGUGCGAACACAUCGACACAUAUUAGCGCCCGACUGUGCCACCAAGCUCAAAUCAGGGGCUGCAAGAUUCCAUCACUAGUCUUCGUGUGGUUGUCUUGGUCUUGGAUUGUAAAGCCCAGUUUGGGAUUUUGCUACAACUGCUCAUUCAGUGAGGAUUCUGAUCGAAGACGAUCAGAAGGAGAAAGGACUUUGCCCAAGUAACUCCAGCUGGUUAUAUUGACACACUAUAUGAAUGUAACGCCAUACAGAGGCAUGUUUCAUGUGUGGCAGAGGACUAGAGGUAAUUAAAACUUCAUCUGAGGAAGCAAUCUACAAAGUCAAGUGGAGCAAUAGCGUCCAAGCAGUCUUGUUGCUAUGUUCUUGCUUUUGCUGUACACAAAGAGGCCGGGAUUGAGCAAGGGCGCUGGAGAUAUUGUGUCAAUAGUGGGCAUCUUGAUGCAGUUGCGCUUGUCGAAGUUGAGCUUGUUCCCACGCACGACUUGUAGUUGUAAACUUAUGCAUUUGGGGCUAUUAAAGGGAGGCAAUUGACGUGCAUGUCAAGAGGAGUUAUUCUGCGGCAACCCAGAGAGUCAUGUUUGAUCAUUAAAAGAAAUGGCCACGGAUCCCCACGGACGCCGCCACUGCCGCGGAUCCCCGCGGAUGAUGCAGACGCCGCCGGAGAGAGCAGGAUUUGGUCG